GCUAGAGUAGUUUAAUUUGAGAAUUUUUGAUUUGUAAUUAAAAGGUUUGGCU
rnacentral:tRNA from 1 species